rnacentral:rRNA from 1 species
GACGUAGGGCGCGAGCGUUGUCCGGAUUUAUUGGGCGUAAAGGGCGCGUAGGCGGCCUGCUAAGUCGAACGUGAAAUCCCUGGGCUCAACCCAGGAACUGCGUCCGAUACUGGUUGGCUUGAAUCCGGGAGAGGGAUGUGGAAUUCCAGGUGUAGCGGUGAAAUGCGUAGAUAUCUGGAGGAACACCGGUGGCGAAGGCGACAUCCUGGACCGGCAUUGACGCUGAGGCGCGAAAGCCAGGGGAGCAAACGGG